GAUGAACGCUGGCGGCGUGCCUAAUACAUGCAAGUCGAGCGAACGGACGAGAAGCUUGCUUCUCUGAUGUUAGCGGCGGACGGGUGAGUAACACGUGGAUAACCUACCUAUAAGACUGGGAUAACUUCGGGAAACCGGAGCUAAUACCGGAUAAUAUUUUGAACCGCAUGGUUCAAAAGUGAAAGACGGUCUUGCUGUCACUUAUAGAUGGAUCCGCGCUGCAUUAGCUAGUUGGUAAGGUAACGGCUUACCAAGGCAACGAUGCAUAGCCGACCUGAGAGGGUGAUCGGCCCCACUGGAACUGAGACACGGUCCCGACUCCUACGGGAGGCAGCAGUAGGGAAUCUUCCGGAAUGGGCGAAAGCCUGACGGAGCAACGCCGCGUGAGUGAUGAAGGUCUUCGGAUCGUAAAACUCUGUUAUUAGGGAAGAACAUAUGUGUAAGUAACUGUGCACAUCUUGACGGUACCUAAUCAGAAAGCCACGGCUAACUACGUG
rnacentral:rRNA from 1 species